CACAGGGUAUUCAACUAAGAUUAAUGACCAUAAGAUAUACUUGAAAGUUCUGGCUGUCAAUGCUUGCUUUCUAAUAAAUGUCUGAUACAGAAAGAUUUUUGGAUUCAUGCAGGCGGUUUCACAUUGCCAGUCAAAAGUGGCGAGACCUACAUGCUACGGUUGAUCAAUGCAGCACUCAAUGAAGAGCUCUUCUUCAAAAUUGCAGGGCAUAAGCUUACAGUCGUCGAAGUUGAUGCCACCUAUGUUAAACCAUUCAAAACCGAUACAGUCCUAAUUGCCCCAGGCCAGACCACCAAUGUCCUUGUCACAACUAACAAAAAUACAGGCAAGUACUUGGUUGCUGCCUCCCCGUUCAUGGAUUCUCCAAUUGCUGUGGACAACAUGACAGCAACAGCCACUUUGCAGUAUUCAGGAGCACUUGCUAACUCCCCUACAACUCUCACCACCCCACCUCCAAAGAAUGCCACUGCAGUUGCCAACCAAUUUACCAACUCUCUACGCAGCCUUAACUCAAGAAGAUUUCCUGCCAAAGUCCCAUUGAACGUUGAUCACAACCUUUUCUUUACAGUUAGUCUAGGAGUUAACCCAUGUCCAAGUUGCAAAGCUGGUAAUGGCAGCAGGGUUGUUGCUAGUAUUAACAAUGUCACAUUUGUGAUGCCAACCACUGCCCUGCUCCAAGCACAUUUCCUCAACAUCAGCGGUGUGUUCACCACUGAUUUUCCUGCAAAGCCACCGCAUGUUUUCAAUUACACUGGCACUCCACCUACAAAUUUACAGACCAAAAGUGGAACUAAAGUUUAUAGGCUGAGCUACAACUCGACAGUCCAACUUGUUAUGCAAGAUACUGGUAUCAUAUCCCCUGAGAACCAUCCGAUCCAUUUACAUGGAUUCAAUUUCUUUGCUGUCGGUAGGGGAGUAGGGAAUUACAAUCCGAAGACUGAUACUAAGAAGUUUAACCUCGUUGAUCCUGUUGAACGGAACACAAUUGGAGUACCUUCUGGUGGAUGGGUGGCGAUAAGAUUUCGCGCCGAUAAUCCAGGUAAUUGCUGUUUAAUGUUUUCGUUUGGAAGUACAGAGCUUGGCAUUUUCAAGUUUGUUUAAUUUCAUGUUCUCUGAUUUUCUUCUUCGCAUCUCUUGUAGGAGUUUGGUUCAUGCAUUGCCAUCUAGAGGUGCACACUACAUGGGGACUUAAGAUGGCGUUCUUGGUAGACAAUGGCAAAGGCCCUAAGGAGUCUCUUCUACCGCCGCCAAGCGACCUUCCAAAAUGUUGAAGUCAGAUCAAGAACUAUACUAACUCGAGGGAUAGAAGCCAUACUUUAUCAGGAAACUUGGUCCCGGUAGAAACAUUCUAUGCUCGAAGAGAGCAGAGUGUGUAUAUAUAUAAUUUGAGGGUUAAAGAUCCGAUUUGUUUCUUGAGUGAAUUGGAAGAUUUGCUCAAGCGAGUUUGCAUAAAAUUUUGUGAGCGGUAGAGCUGUUUCAAUUCAAAUGUUAUUUUUUCUUGAAUAAAUAUAUAUAUAUUGAAGAUUUGAUCACAAAGCCAUUCAUGAUCAAUAAAACUUGUAUGCUUCUAAAUAUGUUCAUGGGUCGGGUUGGAUAAGACCUAGAUCAGGCCCGAUUAACUUUUCUAAGUUAUAUUGACCCGUAUCUGGCCAGAAUCGAUCCUUGGGCUUUCAAGCCCUUUAAGAAAUAAAAAAUAAAAAAUAAAAGCAAAAUAAUAUGUAGCAAUAGAAAUUAGUUUUUUUUUUUUUGAGACAAGUAUCGAAAUUGUUAAAGAAUAAGGAAGCAAAGUUUUAGCACGGCGAAACAAAUAUUUAUAUAACGCGGCAAUGAUUAGAAAUUCUAGCAAUGAUUGCAUUUCUUAGACCCAAAAGCUGUAUGUUUUUAAAUAUUUUUGAUAUGGUAAAGUAAGAAAUUAUUAUUUUAAUAUAUUUUAAAAUAAAAAAUUUUAAAAAUUAAUUUUUAUCACAAUCUCAAAUAAACAUUAGGUGAAAAGAAAAAAGAAAAGGAACAAUACAAACUGAAGCAUGGAGUUAGAACUUAAUUUUGUAGUUUAUUAAAAUAAAUAAAUUAAUUAUGGUUUUAACUAUAUAUUUACUCUUUUUGUUUUUAAAACCAUUUAUAACUUAAUAUUUUUCAUCCCUUUUAUGUUGUUUUUUCAAUAUAUUUAUUUUUUGUUUUAAAAACAGAAAAAAGAAAAGAAAAAGAAAAAGAUAAAUUAAGAAGAUUGAUAAAAUAGAAGAUACCUUUAUUUUUUUUCCCAAUAUGCUACGGCUAAAACUGGUUAGGAAAAUAGUGUAGCUGCAGAUGCAUUGGCACUGUUCACUAGAACAUUCUAAUGACAUCUUUGUCUUUUCCAUAAAAAAAACUUAUAACUAGUUUCUGGGAACAUGAAAGUCUUUUGACGAUGUGCAUUAGUCAUUCUUAAAUUAAUUAGGGGCAAUUAUGUCUUUUUCAAUUUAAAAAUACAGUGAAAAGACCGAAAUGCCCUUAAAAGCAAAAAAUUCAAUGCUAGCAUCAAGGGACAAUUUGAUACUUUUAAAAUUGUUUUUUUCUAUUAUUAUCAUGUAAGAUGAGGAGCAAUUUUGUAUUUGGAUAAAUAUAUAUAAAAAAUAAAAAACAUAGUGAAACGAUCAAAAUGUCCUUGGAAGUCUAAACAUAAAAAAAAAUGAUCUCAAGGGACUUUUUCCAUAGGUUUUUAUCUCAAAGCCUUCCCAAACUUCGAUUGAUAUUCAAUUUUAACUCUAUAAAAAAUAAGGUCUGUGAAAUCUUUUGGUAAAAUAUCAAUUCGAUCCAACGUUCAAAUUAAAAAUUAUGCUUGUUAGCGUAAAACUGUACAUUAGAAAAAAAAAGCCCAAAAUUACCUCUCAUUACCCAACCCUUUUAUGGACCACAUUAAUCAAGGCUUAGUCACCUUUUCUUGAAAAUUUAAAACUUGACUUGACCCAAAUAUCUUGAAUAAGCCCAUCGAAUAACUCUUCAAUCUUUUUGGUCGAAUGAUACAAGGUCAAAAUCUUUGGCUUCUCCUUCCUCAUUCUCAUCAACCAUCUCAUCAAUGAUCCUACACCUCACCAAACAUCACAUUCAUCCUCUCAAAUUGUUGUUCUAUAACCAGCAAUUUAAGAUGUCCUCCUUCUUCUUUUCAGAGGAUGCCCCGUCUUUGGAAGACAUUAUCAAAUUUAAAAUUUUACGUUAGUAAUAAAAAACAAUUAUCAUCACUCACUCCCUUAUGUGUUUACACUCUAUAAUCAACGGGUUGUAGUUGUUCAUCCAAUAGCUUCGAUUCUUUGGUUCAAGGUAAACACUAGAUCGAGUUUUUAUCUUCAAUUCGAUUUUAUCUUUUUUGGGUUGUAUUUUUUCUUGUUUAUGAGUUCACAUCACAAGAAACUAUUUUAUAAUAAACCUAAACCUAGGUUCGAGCCACAUCGUGUCGACACGUGCUUGCGUAUGGGUUUAAGUUCAAAACCCACUUUGCUUAUGUCAUUUUCCCUCUAAAAAAUUGGGUUCCUUUUGGUCUCAAUAUUAACUCUUCGCCUUCUCAUUAAAUAAGUCACAAGAAAAACUUAUUUCUUUCCAACACGGAUAGAGUUUUUAAAGGGUUUGGGUUUCACUAAAACAUGUCAAUCAAAGGUUCUUUGAGAAUAAUUUUUUAUUCAUCCAUAAUUUAAUUAAAUCAUAUUAGUGUUCUAUGUUAAAGAGCUUAUAUUGGAUAUUAAAUUCCAACAAAGUUUUAACCCCAAAAAUGAAUGGAUCCACUUUUAAUUUGGCCUCAAAUAUUUCCAUUAACCAUGUUCCAAGACAAAAUUUGCAACAAAAUGUCCCAUUAACAAAGCAGAAUGUUUUUGUUACAAUACUAAUGUCAGUAAAAAUGAGUAGAGAAUGUUGAUGAAUUUAGAUAUAACUAGUUUAUUUUCUACACUAUCAUUGUGGGUUGGAUGAAAUUUUUUUGGAACAUAAGAAAAUAAUAUAUAAACCAUAUGAAACUUUUCGGCAUUGUCAUUAAAUUAGGUGCAACAGUUCAAACUUGACAACUCUUAACAUGACUAUUUGUUUAGCUCAAGUUUUUAAUUAAAUCAUAUGAAAGUUGCUCUUAUGUGACAUUGUUUACUGGGUAGGUGCAAAGAAAAAAAAACACGUUAGGUUCAACCUAAUCAACCCACCAAACUCGUGAUCGAAGUUAUGAGCUUCACUAGGUCAAAUUAAUUUUUUUUAUUUUAUUAUAUAAUAAAAAUAUAAAUUUUUAUUUACCAUCAACACAAUACUAAAAAAUAAAAUUAAAAAGAAAAACUUCACAUUAAAAGAUAAUAUUGAAAGAAAAAAAUAAAAUAUGUAAAAAAUACUCUAAUGGUGUGCUAUGAUAAAGCCAAACACGCGGGCACGUGGGCUUGGGGAAGGCCUGCAGCUUGGGCUGUGCACAUCUUUUUUAUUUGCAAAAAAGAAGAAAAGCAACCUCUCAUCUAUCUUUUGAAAGAAUAUACUGCUAUCUGUAGCUAGGAAUCAAACCCACAACCUCCACACCUACCUCCUUGCUUACCACCACUUGAACUAUGACAAGAACUUAACCAAGCUAUUAAAAUAUAUCAACUUGAUUUUAAUAACUAAGCCAAAUCCAGCCAUUUAGUUGUUCCUUUUUACUAUUAGAUUUGAAAUCAAUGGUUUUAACAAACCAGCAUUUUAGACAUUCCCAAAACAGACGGAUGCGCAAAAGCAUUGAAUUGAAUUGAAAAUAUUGAUCGGAUCAUGCAUGGAUUUUCAUAUAAAAAAAACACAUCACCGUGGAAAGGACCUGGUGAGCACUCAUCAUUAGAAUUCAGAGCCGCAAGUAAUCCUGGGACAUCCUUUACAAGGACUACAAGUAAUGCCUUGAAAAAGAGAGUUCGGCCUACCAAACUUAACCCGUAUUGUUCUUAAAUCUACGAAGAGCACCAGGUCCUAAAAAAGAGUAGCAAAAUAAAAUAAAUUCUAAGGCAACUAAUUGAAAAUGGUGAUUAAUUAAGGUGACUUGUCCGUUGCUGAUCAAUUGACCACAUGUUCUUUUACUCUAUUUUUAUAUUGUUGUGAACCUACUUGAGUAAAUAGCAGGACAAGAGAAUGUUUUCAGGAUAAAUAUGUAGGAAGUGGGUGCCAAAUUUAAUCAUUUAAUUUACAGAUUUCCUAUGCCACCAAAUUAUCAAACUUCCAUGCAAGGUUCCUAAUUAAUAAAUGCAAAAAUUAGAAAACACAUGGUCUGCUUCCCAAACUAUGUUGAUCCAUGAACAAGACGACUUUAUGUAGCAUGUAAGAAACCUAGUAAGAUUAGGCUUCUAAUCCUUGUUUUCCAAGAAUGAACUCACCCACCUAACCUAACUGUGAAAAACGACAUGGCAGCAAUUCCCAUAUUCCCUUUAUAAGGUUGAGGUAGCCAGUCACGGAUGAAGACAACAAGCUUGAAAGCAAGAAGGAAACCAACAGCAACAGAGAGAUUGCCAAAGAAAGGUCUCGAAGUCAGCAAAUAUGGAGUACUCCAAUUUGCUCAUCCGUUUUAUGCUUCUUGCUGUCUGCCUCCUCCCCGCUUUGGUCGAGUGCAGGAUUCGGCAUUACAAGUUCAAUGUAAGUUAAAUGCUGUAGCAAGCUUCCAUGUGACGAAAGCCUGAACUGCUUGCGCUUUAGGUCAUUAGUCUCAUUCAUGUGACGAAAAUCUUCUUUGAAAUGCAUUUCGUUAUUAGAAGAUAGCCAUGUUUUGCACGAUGCAUUGCGCAUCAUGACACUGCCUUGGCUUAAAAUCAUGCAACUUUACCCAUAUCUUUUUCCUGACUAGUCCAUGAUUCAAAUGGAAAUCAUAGAGUUUCCACCUACCUAUAGCCACUAUUUUAAAUACCAGAAAAGUUUAUUCUCAUGCUUACUUUAUGGUUAAAUAAUUGCAGCAGAAAGCUCUCACUAUAUAUAUAUAUAUAUAUAUAUAUAUAUAUAUAUAUAUAUAUAUGUUCAAGAAACCAUUAAAAAAAUAUUAAAUAGGAAAAGGGUGGUAAGAUCUCAAAGCACUGUAGUGACAUAAUUUGUCACAACAAAUUAAACAAUAUGGACAGUUUAGCAUUUGAUGUAGAAAUGAGCUUAAAUAUUUCACCUAUCAUUUCAACAGGUGGUGAUGAAAAAUACUACCAGACUAUGCUCUAGGAAGCCGAUUGUUACCGUCAAUGGCCGCUUCCCAGGACCCACUCUGUAUGCCAGAGAACACGAUACAGUUCUUGUAAAAGUUGUUAACCAUGUCAAAUAUAAUGUUUCUAUUCACUGGUAAGCUAACGAAACAAACCCUGUAUAACAGUUAUACUUCAAUUCAUCAUGAAUGAUACCGAUGCGGAUUUUUCUUGGUAUUCUGCAGGCAUGGCAUUAGGCAACUAAGAACGGGCUGGGCUGAUGGACCAGCAUACAUUACACAAUGCCCCAUUCAGCCAGGGCAAAGCUAUGUCUACAAUUUCACAAUCACUGGUCAGAGGGGCACACUUCUUUGGCACGCACAUAUUCUCUGGCUAAGGGCCACAGUUCAUGGUGCCCUGGUUGUCUUGCCUAAACGCGGCAUCCCCUACCCAUUCCCAGCUCCUCAUAAAGAAGUGCUUGUUGUAUUAGGUGAGCAGGAUACAUAAUAGCUAUUUCUUUCACUAAAACUUUUGAAAUUCUGUGCAUUCCGCCAUAAUUCAAAUCUUUAAGGUUCAUGGUUAUUAAAUAUGUAACCUGAGACUAAGGUGGUGACGUGAAAUUGCAGCUGAAUGGUGGAAAUCAGAUACUGAAGCUGUGAUCAACGAGGCUCUUAAAUCUGGAUUAGCUCCAAAUGUCUCUGAUGCUCACACAAUUAACGGCCAUCCAGGAGCUGUCUCAGCUUGUUCUUCACAGGGUAUUCAACUAAGAUUAAUGACCAUAAGAUAUACCUGUGAGUUCUGGCUCUCAAUGCUUGCUUUCUAAUAGAGGUCUGAUACAGAAAGAUUUUUGGAUUCAUGCAGGCGGUUUCACAUUGCCAGUCAAAAGUGGCGAGACCUACAUGCUACGGUUGAUCAAUGCUGCACUCAAUGAAGAGCUCUUCUUCAAAAUUGCAGGGCAUAAGCUUACAGUCGUCGAAGUGGAUGCCACCUAUGUUAAACCAUUCAAAACCGAUACAGUCCUAAUUGCCCCAGGCCAGACCACCAAUGUCCUUGUCACAGCUAACAAAAAUACAGGCAAGUACUUGGUUGCUGCCUCCCCGUUCAUGGAUGCUCCAAUUGCUGUGGACAACAUGACAGCAACAGCCACUUUGCAGUAUUCAGGAGCACUUGCUAACUCCCCUACAACUCUCACCACCCCACCUCCAAAGAAUGCCACUGCAGUUGCCAACCAAUUUACCAACUCUCUACGCAGCCUUAACUCAAGAAGAUUUCCUGCCAAAGUCCCAUUGAACGUUGAUCACAACCUUUUCUUUACAGUUGGUCUAGGAGUUAACCCAUGUCCAAGUUGCAAAGCUGGUAAUGGCAGCAGGGUUGUUGCUAGUAUUAACAAUGUCACAUUUGUGAUGCCAACCACUGCCCUGCUCCAAGCACAUUUCCUCAACAUCAGCGGUGUGUUCACCACUGAUUUUCCUGCAAAGCCACCGCAUGUUUUCAAUUACACUGGCACUCCACCUACAAAUUUACAGACCAAAAGUGGAACUAAAGUUUAUAGGCUGAGCUACAACUCGACAGUCCAACUUGUUAUGCAAGAUACUGGGAUCAUAUCCCCUGAGAACCAUCCGAUCCAUUUACAUGGAUUCAAUUUCUUUGCUGUCGGUAGGGGAGUAGGGAAUUACAAUCCGAAGACUGAUACUAAGAAAUUUAACCUCGUUGAUCCUGUUGAACGGAACACAAUUGGAGUACCUUCUGGUGGAUGGGUGGCGAUAAGAUUUCGCGCCGAUAAUCCAGGUAAUUGCUGUUUAAUGUUUUCGUUUGGAAGUACAGAGCUUGGCAUUUUCAAGUUUGUUUAAUUUCAUGUUCUCUGAUUUUCUUCUUCGCAUCUCUUGUAGGAGUUUGGUUCAUGCAUUGCCAUCUAGAGGUGCACACUACAUGGGGACUUAAGAUGGCGUUCUUGGUAGACAAUGGCAAAGGCCCUAAGGAGUCUCUUCUACCGCCGCCAAGCGACCUUCCAAAAUGUUGAAGUCAGAUCAAGAACUAUACUAACUCGAGGGAUAGAAGCCAUACUUUAUCAGGAAACUUGGUCCCGGUAGAAACAUUCUAUGAUCGAAGAGAGCAGAGUGUGUAUAUAUAUAAUUUGAGGGUUUAAGAUCCGAUUUGUUUCUUGAGUGAAUUGGAAGAUUUGCUCAAGCGAGUUUUAAUAAAAUUUUGUGAGCGGUAGAGCUGUUUCAAUUCAAAUGUUAUUUUUUCUUGAAUAAAUAUAUCUAUUGAAGAUUUGAUCACGAAGCCAUUCAUGAUCAAUAAAACUUGUAUGUUCUAUAUAUGUUCAUGUGUCGGGUCGGAUUAGACCUAGAUCAGGCCCGAUUAAUUUUUCUAAGCUAUAUUGACCCGAGUCUAGUCAGAAUCGAUACUUGGGCUUUCAAGCCCUUCAAGAAAUUAAAAAAUGAAAGCAAAUAAUAAAUGCUAGAGUUCGAUUAGAACUAGUCUUUUCAUUUUUCAACAAGUAUCAAAAUUGUUAACGACCAAGGAAGCAAAGUUUUAGCACCGUGAAACAAAUAUUUAUAUAUAUAUCACGGCAAUGAUUAGAAAUUCUAGCAAUGAUUGCAUUUCUUAGACCCAAAAGCUGUAUGUUUUUAAAUAUUUUUUAUAGGGUAAUGUUAAAAAUUAUUAUUUUGAUAUAUUUUAAAAUAAAAAAUAAUUUUAAAAAUAAUUUUUAUCAUAUUCUUAAAUAAAUAUUAGGUGAAAAGAGAAAGAAAGGGAAAAAUAUAAACUGAAGCAUGGAGUGACUAGUAACUUAAUUUUGUAGUUUAUUAAAAUAAAUUAAUUAAUUAUAGUUGUAACUAUAUAUUUACUCUCUUUGUUUUUAAAACCAUUUAUAACUUAAUAUUUUUCAUCUAUUAUAUGUUGUUCUUCUAAUUUAUUUAUUUUUUGUUUUAAAAACAAAAAAAAAAGAAAAAGAUAAAAUAAGAAGAUUGAUAAAAUAAAAGAUACCUUCAUUUUUUUUUCAAAUAUGCUAUAGCUAAAAUUGGUUAGGAAAAUAGUGUAGCUGCAGAUAUAUUGACACUGUUCACUAGAACAUUCUAAUGAAGUGAACGUUCUAAUGACGUCUUUGUCUUUUCCAUCAAAAAACUUAUAACUAGUUACUUGGGACAUCAAAGUCUUUUGAUGAGGCACAUUAGUCAUUUCUAAAUUGACUAGGGGAAAUUAUGUCUUUUCCAAUUUAAAAAAUACAGUGAAAUUUCUAAAAUGCUCUUUUAAAAGCAAAAAUCUCAAUAUUGGCAUCAAAGGACAAUUUGAUACUUUUAAAAUGGUUUUUUUUUGUUAUUAUCAUGUAAGAUGAGAAUCAAAAAUAUAUUGAAACGAUUGAAAUGUCCAUAGAAGUCAAAAAAUAAAAUAAAAAUGAUCUUAAAGGGCUUUUUCCAAAGGUUUUUUCAUUAUUAACAUGUAAAAUCAUGGGUGAUUUGAUAUUUGAAUAAAACAAAAUUCAGGCAUAUGUACGACACCAUGAGGCACGCGGGAGGCGCCAACACACUAUGGAUGACGUGUGUGACGCCUUCCAUUGUCCAAAAAUACCCUUUCAUCAUGUCAUUGGAAGCACUGUCGUGUUUUGUUUCCUGUUGGUAUGAUACAUGUCUUUGGUGGUGAUUCAGUUUGUCGUCGAAAGGACUUUCUAUUCUAUUCUUUUUCCUUCUCUUCUCUCUUCUCCCUUAAAAAAUAUAGUUUGCCCUUUUUGUUCUUGAUGUUUCAACUUCAAUAAUUAUUCUUUUGAUUUUUAAUUUUUGUUCCGGGCUCUUUUAUAGAAAUCUUAUUUGUUUUUAAUUUCAUUCUUCAAUCACAAUUCACUAAAUAUCAUAUUCUUUAAUUUGGUCAUUCUUUUGAUUUAUAAUUUUUGUGUAGCCUUAACAAAUAAGGUGUACCUUGCAAAAAUUGGAGCUCUGUUACCGCCUCUCGUGUGUCCAUGUAAAAUAAAGAAACCACUAACUUUUGAAUCCUAAUGAAACAUGGGAACCUUGCCAAUUAAUAACUCUAAUUAUGUCGCCUCAAAUGUCCUUGUAGAAUAAGGAAGUCACUUUAUAGGAAAUCUAUAAGUUAGAAGGAAAGAUAAUCCUAAACCAACUAGGAAACUAAUGCAAUUCCCGCAUAGUACUUUCUAGUUUUUAUCUCAAGGUCUUUCUAAACUCCGAUUGAUAUUUAAUUUUAACCCUAUAAAAAUAAGAUCUGUGAAAUCUUUUGGUAAAAUAUCAAUUCGAUCCAACAUUCAGAUUGAAAAUUAUGAUUGUUAGGGUAAAACUGUAUAUUAGAAGAAAACAAAUGCCCAAAAUUACCUCUCCUUACCCAACCCUUUCAUGGACCACAUUGAUCAAAGCUUAGUCACCCCUUCUUGAAAUUUUGAAACUUGACUUGACCAAAAUAUCUUAAAUAAGCCCAUCGAAUACCUUUUCAAUCUUCUUGGUCGAAUAAUGCAAGGUCAAAAUCUUUGGCUUCUCCUUCCUCAUUCUCAUCAACCAUCUCAUCGAUGAUCCUACACCUCACCAAACAUCACAUUCAUCCUCUCAAAUUGUUGUUCUAUACCCCUAACAAAAAUAAGAUGUUCUCCUCCUCCUUUUUAGAGGAUGCUCCGUCUUUGGAAGACAUUGUCAAAUUUAAAAUUUUACGUUAGCAAUAAAAAACAAUUAUCAUCAUUUACUCCCUUACGUGUUUACACUCAAUAAUCAACGGGUUAUGGUCGUUCAUCCAUUAGCUUCGAUUCUUUGGUUCAAGGUAUUCACUAUAUCAAGUUUUUAUCUUCAAUUCGAUUUGUCUUUUUGGGUUGUAUUUUUUCUUGUUUAUGAGUUCACAUCACAAGAAACUAUUUUAUAAUAAACUCAAACCUAGGCUCAAGCCACAUCAUGUCAACGCGUACUUGCAUAUUCAAAACCCACUUUACUUAUGUCAUUUUCCCUCUAAAAAAUUAGGUUCCUAUUGGUCUCAAUAUUAACUCUUCACCUUCUCACUAAAUAAGCCACAAGAAAAACUUAUUUCUUUCUAAUGUGGGAUAGAGUUUUUAGAAGGCUUUGGGUUUCACUAAAAUAUAUGAAUCAAUGGUUAUUUGAGAAUAAUUUUUUAUUCAUCCACAAUUUAUUUAAAUCAUAUUAGUAGUAUAUGUUAAAGAGCUUAUGUUGGAGAUUAAAUUCCAACACAGUUUUAACCCCAAAAGUGAAUGGAUCCACUUUUAAUUUGGCAUCAAAUAUUUUCAUUAACCAUGUUCCUAGACAAAAUUUGCAACAAAAUAUCCUCCUAACAAAGCAGAAUGUUUUUGUUACAAUACUAAUGUCAGUAAAAAUGAGUAACGGAUGUUGAUGUAUUUAGAUAUAACUAGUUUAUUUCCUACACUAUCGUUGUGGGUUGUAUGAAAUUUUUUUGGAAUAUAAGAAAACAAUAUAUAAAUUAUAUAAAACUUUUUUGCAUUGUUAUUAAACUAAGUACAAUGGUUCAAACUUGACAACUCUCAACAUGACUAUUUGUUUAGCCCAAGUUUUAAAUUAAAUCAUAUGAAAGUUGCCGUUAUGUGACCUUGUUUAUUGGGUAAGUGCAAAGAAAAACAAGGAGCAUGUCAGGUUAAACAUAAUCAACCCGCCAAAACCGUGACAGAAGUUAUAGGCUCUACUAGGUCAAAUUAUUUUUUAUUUUAUUUUAUUAUAUAAUAAAAAAAUAUAAAAUUUGAUUUACCAUUAACCCAAUAACCCAAUACUACAAAAUAAAAUUAAAGAAAAACCUCACAUUAAAGGAAUAAAAAAUAAAUAAAUAUGACAAAAAAUACUCAAAUGGUGUGUUACGAUAAAGCCAAACACGUGGGCUUGGGGAGGCCCACAGACGUGGCCCGUACACCUUUUUUUUAUUUGAAAAAAAAAAUCAACAUUCUCAUUUUUUAUUUGAAAAAAUAUAUUGCUGUCAGUAGGAAUCGAACCCAACACCUAUCUGCUUACUUACAACCACUUGAAUUAUGAAACGAACUACGAACUUGUUAACUAAGCUGUUAAAAUAUAUCAACUUAAUUUGAAUAAUUAAGUCAAAUCAAGUCAUUUAGUUGUUUCCUUUUUACUAUUAGAUUUGAAAUCAAUGGUUUUAACAAACCAGCAUUUUAGACUUUCCCAAAACAGACGUAUGCGCAAAAACAUUGAAUUGAAUUGAAAAUAUUGAUCUGAUCAUGCAUGGAUUUUCAUAUAAAAAAAACACAUCACCGUGGAAAGGACCUGGUGAGCAUUCAUCAGUAGAAUUCAGAGUCGCAAGUAAUCCUGGGACAUCCUUUACAAGGACUACAAGUAAUGCCUUGAAAAAGAGAGUUCGGCCUACCCAACUUGUAACCCGUAUUGUUCUUACAUCUACGAAGAGCACUACGUCGUAAAAAAGAGUAACAAAAUAAAAUAAACUCUAAGGCAACCAAAUGAAAAUGGUGAUUAAUUAAGGUGACUUGUCUGUUGCUGAUCAAUUGACCUCAUGUUCUUUUACUCUAUUUUUAUAUUGUUGUGAACCUACUUGAGUAAAAAGGACGACAAGAGAAUGUUUUCAGGAUUAAUAUGUAGGAAGUGGGUGCCAAAUUUAAUCAUUUAAUUUACAGAUAUCCUAUGCCAAGAAAUUAUCAAACUUCCAUGCAAGGUUCCUAAUUAAUAAAUGCAAAAAUUAGAAAACACAUGUUCUGCUUCCCAAUCUAUGUUGAUCCAUGAACAAGAAGACUUUAUGUAGCAUGUAAGAAACCUAGUAAGAUUAGGCUUCUAAUCCUUGUUUUCCAAGAAUGAACUCACCCACCUAACCUAACUGUGAAAAACGACAUGGCAGCAAUUCCCAUAUUCCCUUUAUAAGGUUGAGGUAGCCAGUCACGGAUGAAGACAACAAGCUUGAAAGCAAGAAGGAAACCAACAGCAACAGAGAGAUUGCCAAAGAAAGGUCUCGAAGUCAGCAAAUAUGGAGUACUCCAAUUGGCUCAUCCGUUUUAUGCUUCUUGCUGUCUGCCUCCUCCCUGCUUUGGUCGAGUGCAGGAUUCGGCAUUACAAGUUCAAUGUAAGUUAAAUGCUGUAGCAAGCUUCCAUGUGACGAAAGCGUGAACUGCUUGAGCUUUCGGUCAUUAGUCUCAUUCAUGUGACGAAAAUCUUCUUUGAAAUGCAUUUCGUUAUUAGAAGAUAGCCAUGUUUUGCACGAUGCAUUGCACAUCAUGACACUGCCUUGGCUUAAAAUCAUGCAACUUUACCCAUAUCUUUUUCCUGACUAGUCCAUGAUUCAAAUGGAAAUCAUAGAGUUUCCACCUACCUAUAGCCACUAUUUUAAAUACCAGAAAAGUUUAUUCUCAUGCUUACUUUAUGGUUAAAUAAUUGCAGCAGAAAGCUCUCACUAUAUAUAUAUAUAUAUAUAUAUAUAUAUGUUCAAGAAACCAUUAAAAAAAUAUUAAAUAGGAAAAGGGUGGUAAGAUCUCAAAGCACUGUAGUGACAUAAUUUGUCACAACAAAUUAAACAAUAUGGACAGUUUAGCAGUCAUGACCUUUGAAUUAUAUACAUUUGAUGUAGAAAUGAGCUUAAAUAUUUCACCUAUCAUUUCAACAGGUGGUGAUGAAAAAUACUACCAGACUAUGCUCUAGGAAGCCGAUUGUUACCGUCAAUGGCCGCUUCCCAGGACCCACUCUGUAUGCCAGAGAACACGAUACAGUUCUUGUAAAAGUUGUUAACCAUGUCAAAUAUAAUGUUUCUAUUCACUGGUAAGCUAACGAAACAAACCCCGUAUAACAGUUAUACUUCAAUUGAUCAUGAAUGAUACCGAUGCGGAUUUUUCUUGGUAUUCGGCAGGCAUGGCAUUAGGCAACUAAGAACGGGCUGGGCUGAUGGACCAGCAUACAUUACACAAUGCCCCAUUCAGCCAGGGCAAAGCUAUGUCUACAAUUUCACAAUCACUGGUCAGAGGGGCACACUUCUUUGGCACGCACAUAUUCUCUGGCUAAGGGCCACAGUUCAUGGUGCCAUGGUUGUCUUGCCUAAACGCGGCAUCCCCUACCCAUUCCCAGCUCCUCAUAAAGAAGUGGUUGUUGUAUUAGGUGAGCACGAUACAUAAUAGUUAUUUCUUUCACUAAAACUUUUGAAAUUAUGUGCAUUCCGACCAUAAUUCAAUGCUUUAAGGUUCAUGUUUAUUAAAUAUGUAACCUGAGACUAAUGUGGUGACGUGAAAUUGCAGCUGAAUGGUGGAAAUCAGAUACUGAAGCUGUGAUCAACGAGGCUCUUAAAUCUGGAUUAGCUCCAAAUGUCUCUGAUGCUCACACAAUUAACGGCCAUCCAGGAGCUGUCUCAGCUUGUUCUUCACAGGGUAUUCAACUAAGAUUAAUGACCAUAAGAUAUACCUGAGAGUUCUGGCUCUCAAUGCUUGCUUUCUAAUAAAGGUCUGAUACAGAAAGAUUUUUGGAUUCAUGCAGGCGGUUUCACAUUGCCAGUCAAAAGUGGCGAGACCUACAUGCUACGGUUGAUCAAUGCUGCACUCAAUGAAGAGCUCUUCUUCAAAAUUGCAGGGCACAAGCUUACAGUCGUCGAAGUUGAUGCCACCUAUGUUAAACCAUUCAAAACCGAUACAGUCCUAAUUGCCCCAGGCCAGACCACCAAUGUCCUUGUCACAACUAACAAAAAUACAGGCAAGUACUUGGUUGCUGCCUCCCCGUUCAUGGAUGCUCCAAUUGCUGUGGACAACAUGACAGCA
rnacentral:lncRNA from 1 species